rnacentral:rRNA from 1 species
UGGGGAAUUUUGGACAAUGGGCUCAAGCCUGAUCCAGCAAUGCCGCGUGCAGGAUGAAGGCCUUCGGGUUGUAAACUGCUUUUGUACGGAGCGAAAAGGUCUGCCCUAAUACGGUGGGCUCAUGACGGUGCCGUAAGAAUAAGCACCGGCUAACUACGUGCCAGCAGCCGCGGUAAUACGUAGGGUGCGAGCGUUAAUCGGAAUUACUGGGCGUAAAGCUUGCGCAGGCGGGUAUGCAAGACAGAGGUGAAAUCCCCGGGCUCAACCCGGGAACUGCAUUUGUGACUGUAUAGCUAGAGGACGGCAGAGGGGGAUGGAAUUCGGCGUGUAGCAGUGAAAUGCGUAGAUAUGCGGAGGAACACCGAUGGCGAAGGCAAUCCCCUGGGCCUGUACUGACGCUCAUGCACGAAAGCGUGGGGAGCAAACA